UACGAAGGGGGCUAGCGUUGUUCGGAUUUACUGGGCGUAAAGGGUGCGUAGGCGGAUACUUAAGUGGGAUGUGAAAUACCUGGGCUUAACUUGGGUGCUGCAUUCCAAACUGGGUGUCUAGAGUGUUGGAGAGGAAAGUGGAAUUCCUAGUGUAGCGGUGAAAUGCGUAGAGAUUAGGAAGAACACCAGUGGCGAAGGCGACUUUCUGGACAAUAACUGACGCUGAGGCUCGAAAGCGUGGGGAGCAAACAGG
rnacentral:rRNA from 1 species